rnacentral:lncRNA from 1 species
CAAGCUCUCCAUGUAUUCUUUCGUAGCGUUUCCUUUGGGUACUGCCCCCUACCAUAUAAGAAGAAUGUACUUUAGUUGGGGAGAAUGAAAGUUAAAAACAUCAGGCCGGGCGCAGUGGGUCACACCUGUAAUCCCAGCACUUUGGGAGGCUGAGGCGGGUGGAUCACGGGGUCAGGAGUUCAAGACCAGCCUGGCCAACCCAGCCUGGUCAACAUGGUGAAACCCCGUCUCUACUAAAGAUACAAAAAAUUAGCCAGGCGCGGUGGCAGGCGCCUGUAAUCCCAGCUACUUAGGAGGCUGAGGCAGGAGAAUCGCUUGAACUCAGGAGGUAGAGGUUGCAGUGAGCCAAGAUCGCGCCGUUGCACUCCAACCUGGGCGACAGGGCAAGACUCCAUCUCAAAAAAAAAAAAAAAAUCAUAUAUUUUCUAUAUCAUCAAACAAUUAAAAAAAACUACCUUAUUAUCCUUUUGAUAAAUGGCUUAACCACCUGCAUUUUCAGAGGCAAGGCUUAUUCCCAGACAAGGGCACUGACUGUCCCCAGGUGGGGCAGGGAACCUCUUUGCACACCACUUCCCUGUAGCCCCUGCUGACAGGGAGGUGACUGAUAAGCACUGCCCAGAGUUUUCUUAUCGGGCAGUCGGGGAACAAAGAACAAAACAAUCUCAAAAAGGACUUUAAUUUCGUGUUGCUAAAGUGACAUGAUACUUUUGUCUCUUGGCCAACUUCCUCAAAGGCAUUCACACACAAACCUGGAGGUGGCGGUCCAGACCACCUGACCCGAUUCAUGUCUGGCAACGAGGCCGCCCAGCGGCAUCAGAAACUUGAACAUGCAUCCAUCUGUGCCCCAAGUGCUAGAGGAGCUGGAGAAGAUGAGCAAUGGCGAAGCAGCGGAAAGAGGAGUUGGGGAGGCUGUGAGCUGCUGGUAAGGGGCAGAGCUGAAGGCCAAGAGUCACCCUACCAGCACCAUGUCAACUGAGGACCCGCUGUAGGGAAGGUAAGGCCAGAGCUGGCUGCAACAGCAGAGGCUUUGUUCUUUGGGCAGUGGAGAUAAGUCAUCAAAACCAUGUUUGUGGGAGACAAUUCUGGGAGCUGUGGCAGGGUGGAAUAAAAUAGGCAGACCUGCCUGGGGGUUCCAAUGCCUCAAGAAGAGGAACAAGGCCUUGUGUCUGCCUCUUAGCCUGGAUCCUGCACUUCACGUAGAAAUCACAGAUCUGGAGAAUGAGACCCACGGACACUGGGAACAGCAGUCAGGGCUGCAGUGAUUGUGCAAAGACAGGGGAUAUAGGUGGGGCAAAUGGAAGGUGGGAGCUAACAGCCUGGGAGAUGGCAGAGGUGGUGAAGGGCUCUGCCAACAGCAGAUGGCCCUGCUGGAGCUCCUUAAAAUGCAGGUGCCUCGCUGGGCUCCGGAGCCACAGAUCUGAACCUCUGCAGGGUGAGGGUUGACAUCCAAAUUUUAGAAAGUUCAGCAGGUGAGCGCCCUGCAGAGCCAGAGACUGCUGCCCGCUGGAUUCAGGGCUACCAACAGGCCAGAGCUGGAGCCUUGGGCAGCACAGGCAGGGGGGCCCCAGGGCAAAUGUGAGUGUUGACUGCCCAAACCUCCCCUGAGGUUUACUUCCUCCAAACAAGGCCCCGUCAGUCCCAUGGCCGCAAUAUGGGGAAGCUGUUUUGGUCAAGAUCAAAGUGUUUCCUAACAUGCUGCCUCCUUAAAGAAGUUAGAAAAGGGUUUAAACUCAUCUUUGAAAACUUAAAUCAGAAUAAGUAAAACAUUUUACUGGCUGGGCAGGGUGGCUCACGGCUUUAAUCCCAGCACUUUGGGAGGCUGAGGUGGGUGGAUCACGAGGUUAGGAGUUCAAGACCAGCCUGGCAAAGAUGGCGAAACCCCAUCUCUACUAAAAAUACAAAAAUUAGCUGGGCGUGGUGGCCUGCGCUUGUAAUAUCCCAGCUACUC